rnacentral:lncRNA from 1 species
CCACAUGGUGGGUGAGAAGUUCGCUUCGUCCAUGCACAAGCCUUGGUUAUCGUCGAGUAAUUUAUUAACAACACGACAGGGGCCAAGCGCAGAAGCCGCUUUCCACCCAUCUCAACCAAAUCGCACCCCGUAUUCUUGAAGGGCUCUCCUUCAAGGAUACGUGGCCGAAACUUGGUCUCCGGCUUCAUGAUCUCACUGAUGACGUAUCCACCUCAUGUGGGCCCUCCAUAACCGAGACGUGCUAACUCACCAUCCGAUCCUUUGAAUGCCCCUCAGCCGCUCGUUGGCUUACCUACCUUAGAAGUCCGG